GCGGCUGUAGCUCAGCUGGAUAGAGUGACUGGCUACGAACCAGUAGGUCGGGGGUUCGAGUCCCUCCAGCCGUACCA
rnacentral:tRNA from 1 species